UCUGCUGGGGGAGCGUCAGCUGAGAGUGUGCGUUGCACAGACCCUUUAAACCUGAUUCGGACAAUGCCGAUGUAGGGAAGUGAUGAUG
rnacentral:ncRNA from 1 species